AAUUGAAGAGUUUGGAGAAGGAGAACAUGGUCAACAGUGUAAAAGGCAGCAGAGAGGUCAAGAAGAAUUAUUAUAGAGUAGUGCCCUUUGGAUUUAGCUGUAAUUAGGUUGUUAGUGGCUUUAAUAAGAGCAUCCUCAAUAGAGCGGAGGGGGCAGAAGUAGACUGAAGAGGGUCAAGUAGAGAGUUGGAAUUGAAGAAACAAGUCAGACAGGUAAAGACCAGUCUUUCCAGAAGCUUUGAGGAAAAAGGCAGCAGGGAUAUGGGACGAUCGUUAGAAGGCGAAGACAGGUCAAGAGAUUUUUUUUUUGUUUGUUUUUUAAGAUUGGUACUACAGUAGCAUGUUUAAGGGCAGCAGGGACACCACCAGAAGAG